rnacentral:rRNA from 1 species
AUAUUUAAGUUGCUGCAGUUAAAAAGCUCGUAGUUGGAUUCCGGAUGGGUUCCGUCGGUCCGCCGUUUCGGUGUGCACUGACGGCGCCUAUCUUGCUGUCGGGGACGGGCUCCUGGGCUUUACUGUCCGGGACUCGGAGUCGACGAGGUUACUUUGAGUAAAUUAGAGUGUUCAAAGCAGGCCUACGCUCUGAAUACAUUAGCAUGGAAUAACACGAUAGGACUCUGGCCUAUCUUGUUGGUCUGUAGGACCGGAGUAAUGAUUAAGAGGGACAGUCGGGGGCAUUCGUAUUUCAUUGUCA